GUCGUAACAAGGUUUCCGUAGGUGAACCUGCGGAAGGAUCAUUACACGUUCCGUCUGUAUGCGAGGUAGUAUACUAUCUCGUAUUCUUACUGCUGCUGCCAUACUGCGUCUUGUACAUGGUGUGGUGGUAUGCAUGGGAUCUGCCGGUCAUGGUAGUCCAACAUUAUUGCGGUGGGGUGUCUGUCCUGUCGGCUGCCCGCCAGGUGUGCUCGCUUUCCUCCUCCUCCUGCUCUUGCGAAGGGGAGAUCGCCAGUGAACACCGGGGUGACAGGGUAGUGCACGUAUGAGGUUGGACUGUUUGCCUGUGCGCAGUUGCUCCUUGUACGAGUGCGAGGCGUAAGACUCGGGGUCGCUGGUCAAGCGGUCUCGGCGCCCCACCAUGUGUCAGUUGUUUUGUACUGUUGCUGUGUUUUACACCCUGUGGGCGUGGUUCUUCCAUGCUCUCCUUUACCAUGCUCUGCUACAUAGUUGAGCACGGUGGUGCACUCCUUGUUGGUUGGUAGGUCGCUGACCGGCCGGCCCAAGUUCUAGUGUGCCUAACAAGAUCGGCGGUCUUAUGACAUUGUCGGUCGAAGUACAACUCUAUGCGGUGGAUCACUCGGCUCGUGUGUCGAUGAAGAGCGCAGCCAACUGUGUGAAUUAAUGUGAAUCGCAGACUGCUUUGAACAUCGAC
rnacentral:misc_RNA from 1 species